UAAAAAACAUAGUGCUUCAUGAAUUUGCAUGUCAUCCUUGCACAGGGUCAUGCUAAUCUUCCCUGUAUCAUUCCAAUUUUAGUAUUUGUACUGUCAAACUGUAGAAUAA
rnacentral:snRNA from 1 species